rnacentral:tRNA from 1 species
GCCCUGGUGGUGCAGUGGUUAAGCACUCAGCUGCUAACUGAAAGGUUGUGGUUCGAACCCACCAGCAGCA